AGUUGAUGAGUCCCAAAUAGGACGAAAUGCGCGUCCU
rnacentral:hammerhead_ribozyme from 1 species